GGCUGCAGGCUGCAGGGAUGAUGAUGAAAUGAGUUUGGAUGCCAAGGUGCGGCACAGCAUCCCAGUGCGCCAAUGGACCGUGUUGGGUACUGAUUCC
rnacentral:snoRNA from 1 species